UACAUACUUAACACAAGUGGCCGUGUUCGAGUUGUCGUCCUGGCCAUCAAAGGUUGGGCGGAGGGUGUAGUGGAACAACUGUAGGAGGUGGCUGACAUUAGAAGGUAUCGAGAGAUUGUCGAUUUCACCGGUGGUUAAAUAGGAGAGAGAAAGCCAGGUGAGAGUGUCCUUCCCCAUGUUGUAGAUAUCAAUAUCCGGUUUGACUGAUGCAUCAAA
rnacentral:misc_RNA from 1 species